CCCAUCAAGGCGAUGAUGCAUAGCGACCUGAGAGGUGAUCGGCCCACACUGGGACUGAGACCGGCCCAUGACUCCUACGGGAGUCAGCAGUAGGGAAUCUUGCACAAUGGACGAAAGUCUUGAUGGAGCACACGCCGCGUGAGUGAUGAAGGUUUUCGGAUCGUAGCACUCUGUUGUAAGGGAAGAACACGUACGAGAGGUAAUGCUCGUACCUAGACGGUACCUUACGAGUAAGCCUCGGCUAACUACGUGCCAACAGCCCCGGUAAUACGUAGGUGGCAAGCGUUGUCCGGAAUUAUUGGGCGUAAAGCGCGCGCAGGCGGCCUAUUAAGUCUGAUGUGAAAGCCCCCGGCUCAACCGGGGAGGGCCAUUGGAAACUGGAAGGCUUGAGUACAGAAGAGAAGAGUGGAAUUCCACGUGUAGCGGUGAAAUGCGUAGAGAUGUGGAGGACUACCAGUGGUGAAGGCGACUCUUUGGUAUGUUACUGACGCUGGGGCGCGCAAGC
rnacentral:rRNA from 1 species